CAGAGGAAGUGCCCUUCGACUGCAAAGGUUUCAGCUUUAUUGUGGCGAGUUUCUUCUUGGUCAGUCCUCUUCCUCUCACGGUCAUUUCAGAGGAAGCGCCCUUCGACUGCAGGGAUUUGCCAUUGGUUCAGCUGCUCUUGUGUCUCUGGCGCUUUUUGGUGCCUUCAUCAGCAGAGCUGGAGUGAAGGUUGUCCAUGUCCUCUCCCCCAAGGUUUUCAUUGGUUUGAUUGUUGGAGCCAUGCUUCCCUAUUGGUUCUCUGCCAUGACCAUGAAGAGUGUUGGAAGUGUCACCCUAAAGAUGGUGGAGGAGGUCCGCAGACAGUUCAACACCAUUCCUGGGUUGAUGGAGGGAACUGCCAAGCCUGACUAUGCAACCUGUGUGAAGAUCUCCACUGAUGCUUCCAUCAAGGAGAUGAUUCCUCCUGGUGCUCUGGUCAUGCUCACUCCCCUCAUUGUUGGAACCCUCUUCGGUGUUGAGACUCUCUCUGGUGUUCUUGCUGGUGCCCUGGUUUCUGCAGGUAUUGCCAUCUUUGCUCCCAACACCGGUGGUGCAUGGGACAAUGCUAAGAAGUACAUUGAGGCUGGUGCCAGCGAGCAUGCCAGGACCCUCGGCCCCAAGGGAUCUGACUGCCACAAGGCUGCUGUGAUAGGUGACACCAUUGGUGACCCCCUGAAGGACACCUUGGGCCCGUCCCUCAACAUCCUGAUCAAGCUUAUGGCGGUGGAGUCCCUUGUGUUUGCCCCCUUCUUCGCCACCCACAGCGGCCUGUUGUUCAAGUACCUGUAA